AGACCCGUAGCUCAGCUGGUAGGGUGCGCGCGUAUAAAGCGUAGGCGGCGUCCAUGCGUGGGUUCGAAUCCCACCGAGGCUA
rnacentral:tRNA from 1 species